GAUGGGUUAUUUAUCAGCAGUGUGGCUUCUUCCUCAAAUUUAUGGGCCUUGAUUAUGGAUGCUGGCACUGGCUUCACUGCUCAAGUUUAUGAGCUUUCACCUUACUUUCUCCACAAGGAGUGGAUUAUGGAACAGUGGGAGAAGAAUUACUACAUCAGUGCAAUAGCAGGAGCUAAUAACGGAAGUUCGUUAGUUGUGAUGUCUAAGGGGACCCAGUAUUUACAGCAGUCCUAUAAAGUCAGUGAUUCAUUCCCUUUCAAGUGGAUUAAUAAGAAAUGGAGAGAGGGUUUUUAUGUCACUGCCAUGGCCACUGCUGGAAGUAGAUGGGCAAUUGUUAUGUCCCGUGGGGCUGGAUUUUCUGACCAGGUUGUGGAGCUAGAUUUUCUAUAUCCUAGUGAAGGAAUUCAUAGGAGGUGGGAUAGUGGUUACCGCAUUACUUCAACUGCUGCAACUUGGGACCAGGCUGCAUUUGUUCUCAGUGUGCCCCGAAGAAAACCAGCAGAUGAAACUCAAGAGACACUUCGAACUUCUGCUUUUCCUAGUACACAUGUCAAGGAGAAAUGGGCAAAGAAUCUGUAUAUUGCAUCUGUAUGCUAUGGUCGAACUGUCUC
rnacentral:misc_RNA from 1 species